UACAGAGGGUGCGAGCGUUAAUCGGAAUUACUGGGCGUAAAGCGCGCGUAGCCGGUUGUUUAAGUCAGAUGUGAAAGCCCCGGGCUCAACCUGGGAAUUGCAUUUGAGACUGAAUAGCUAGGGUGCGGAAGAGGGAAGCGGAAUUUCCGGUGUAGCAGUGAAAUGCGUAGAUAUCGGAAGGAACAGCAGUGGCGAAAGCGGCUUCCUGGUCCAGCACCGACGUUCAGGCACGAAAGCGUGGGGAGCAAGCAGG
rnacentral:rRNA from 1 species